GCACCCAGCGCCGACAGCUCCCCGUCCCGCCAAACGCGGCCCACAGGCCUCCGGGUUGGAGGGGGCAGCACCCCCGGGCAGGGGCAAGGGGAGUACGGACAAGAAGGGACACUUACUGGGCGUGCAGUGCAGAGCGCAACAGUUGGGAUCGAUCACCAUCAUUCCUGUCAGGUGAGUCUUCUUCACACACACUGGAUCAUCUCUGGGGGAAUUCUUGGGAGCUGCCAUUCAGAGGAUGCACAACAAUUACAUCCUGUGCUCCCUGCUGACUGUGGUGGAAGGAGAAGUGGUGGUGGGCAGUUCAACUCUGUGCUGAGACAGAGACCAACAUUCAGACUUUUUCAUAGGCACUUUCUUUUUCUCAAGGCAUCUAGUUUUCCUAGCAUCUUUGAUAUCUCUGUUUUCCAGGAUCUAUUUUAGCAUUGUCAUUACAUGUAAAUAAUAAUUCUAAAAAGUUUUUUUUUUCAUCUGGAACUGAGUAUCUUGAAUUUCCAUAUGCUGAAAUGAGUGGUGGAAGACUUUCCUAUUUUUACUGUCAGUUCUUUCCUAAUUAGUCAGAAGUGGGAUAUGGACAGGACUGGCAAGCUCUGCUUUCCCAGAAUUUGUGUUUUCUAGCAUGACUUUGAUGCUUGGUAUUAAGCUUUCAGGGAUGUUUGCUUUGAUAACUGAUUUUGAAUCCUGUCUGGCUUACUUAUUUUGCUAAGUUAUGUAUUUUCACCAUUUUUUCAGGUCUAUGGCUCAAUAACACAGUGCUACUAGCACAAUUUAUGCUUCCAAGAUACGUGCAAUCUGCACAUAUCCAUGGAAUGCUGCUGCUUGUGUUGCCUACACAGUAGCUAGGUGUGAUAAUGCUAAGCAGCCCUAGAAAGCAAGUGUAGCCUUGCUUCACACCAGUGUUCAAAGUGAACCAGCCUCUUACUUAGAUGGACUCCCAGAUGCAGCCAUCCACCCCUCUCUGCAAGACUGUGAUGACAGAGUAAGAGCUGAGUGCUGAAGUUCCACAAGGCACUCCUGAGGCCCAUGUCAAGAAACCUGAAAAAAUAAUCAAUGAAGCUGGUGAUGAGCAAAGCAUGCCAUUGCAUGUGUUCUUUCAGGACACUCCUUUGCAUGAAUAUCUGGUUUUCUGGGCCUGAGUCCAGAGGGUGCUCUCCUCUAAUUCUGUGUCAUCUUGCACAGUAUUCCACUGCAAAUGACCUCCCCUAUAGCACAGGGCAGAGAGACACUUUCCCAGUCUCACAUUUUAAUAUUUUAACAACUCCAUGUUUUCUCUUGUAAAAAUGUGGCAUUUUUUCCUAGCUUUUUUUCAACAACUUUUUAAAUUUUACUUCUGCAGUGACAUAAUGGUCUCUUAGCAUUUCUAUUACAACCAAAAUGUCUUUCAAUGCAUUUUUGCUGCUACCUACUGGGCUACAACUUGCUUUUCUGAUGUCAUCACCGCACCAACGGCAAUCUCUUUUUAAAGAGAUUGACAUCAUCUCAUGUUACAGAAUCUCAUGUCAAAGUAGGGCUAACUUUCUGCUGCUGACUUCUUUAAAAUGCUCUGCUGAUCCAUAUUAUAUCUGUUGUACGUAUUUCCCUAUCUUUGCUUUUGAUCAGCCCACUUCCUGUUUAAACUACCCACACAGGAUUUUUGUAACUUGGUAAACAGGAUCUGUGGUUUCCUACCAGGGCAGGAGUUUCAAUUUCAAGUUUUAGGUAUUUGAUACAUCUCUUUACAUCUUUUCAAAGGACAUUAUUUGUCACUGAUUUGUUUACUCUCACAUUCCUUCCUGUAAUUGCACACUUUUUGUUGUCUCGGCAAUGUGGAAGAUCAGACAGCUACAUACAGAAGCUGAGCUGGGUAGCACCACAGACCUCCUGGCCCUGGUACAGUGGAAGCCAUGGGAGAGAUAAACUCAAGGCAAGAACAAAAGUGAACAUAUCAUGCCUGGUCACUCUGACCCCUCUGACGAGAGAAGGUGUAACAAGGACAUUGCUGGCAAAAAAAGAAUGUAACAGGGACUUGAUCACUGAAAAGAUUGUGUUGCUAAGGGAACAGAGGCAAAGGGGUCCUAGUGGAAUGUUUUGCAUGGACAUUAGAGAACUAUAAAUACUGGUGAUUAGUGUAAUAAACUGGCUUUGCUUGCACAGAUGGUCUGUGUCCCUUCAAUCACUGCAGAGCGCUAUAGAAUUUUUAUUUCAGAGAUUUUGUUUUCUUUAUGAUGCACCCUUUUUGGGCUUACCUGAUUCGUUCUGCCCAUCCCUCCCAGACUUUUCUGCUUGGCAUUACAAAGACCAUCACUGAUACCAGCAGUCAUAUAGAACAUCUGACCUUUCAGGGUGUUUGUGUCAGUAUCUAUUUCUGAGUCUUUUUGCCAUCUGGCAAGACCCACAUGUUUAAGCCAGCAAGGUGCUUAAAAAUACAUCAAACAACAAAUACAGAUCAGUCUGUCUCCCACCAUAUUGGUAGAUCUUUCACACUCAAACUAUUUUAACACAAGGCCUAGGUAGGCUAUGUGGCCCCAAGUCUGCUUGAUUAAAAAAAGGUUGCUAACCUAUAAGUGACAAUACAAGCACUUAAGCCAAGCAAGAUAUAUAAAAAAAGGCUGAAACAAGAACAGAAGUGAAAUUGUUGAGUUGGCAGCAAUCGCUUGCGGACUCAUGGAAAAAAUAACAACUGAAAUAACUCUAAAACUCUGAGAAAAAAAAAUAGAAUAUAGCAACUCAGCAAAACCAAGGAUCAUCCUAUUGCAAGGAGCAAUGGAGUCUGGCACUUCCCCAUGUGAUUGCCAUCUGCCUGACCAGCAGAAAUCCAGUGGUUACCUGCACCAAAGGUGGUGAGGGUAUUAAUGCUUAGGCUAAUAGCUCAUUACUCACAGCCAUUUAUUGUGUGUACAAUCCAACAAAUAGCAUAAUUGCUCCGUACUCAUAAAUUGUGUUUGUGAUCCUGCUUUUGAGCCUCCAUGCAGAGGAAAAGACACCCAUAUAAAAGUGAACAAAAAUGCUGAGAGGGUUACACUACACCAUUGCUCUAUUUCUUGAUUGCUAUGUUCAUCUUUGUUAUGAAAGUGAUCCAUGAAAACAAAUAGGCUGAGUUUUGGUAUUUCCUAAUUCCUACUAUGAAGGCCAUUUUGGAAGUGCAUUCUUGUGUUCUUCUCCACAUUUCUCUGUCAUAGCCAACAUUGUGCAACCUCUGUUUUGGCAUGUGGGGUGCCAUGCAUUGCUCAGACCACCUCUUUGGUUGGCACACUUCCUUCUUCUCCAUCCUAGUUGCCAGAUGACAGUCUGCCUUCCUGGAAUGACUCAGCCUACAAGCUGGCUGGCUCACCUGUCACUGCCCCUGUCAUCCACACGUGGAUAUGUGUCAAGGCAGGAUGUGGGUGGAGAUGGAAGCACAGCCCAAUUACAGAAUGAAGAAUGCAGUUCCAGUGAUCUCAGCCACCUGCUACAAAACAUGCACCUGGGCCAUCUCCUAGUUUCAAAGAAAGUCACAACUGUCUUGAUAAGUGCAGAUGGCAGUCCCUCUGAUUUGUAUCUAAAAUCAAUAAUGGCAAGUAUUAUACAACCUUUUCGGGUAAUAUAUUCCAGCAGUAAUCUUUUCUUCUAGUUAGAAUAGGUUACUGUCUUAUUUACUAUAGUAUAGCUGAAAAAGGUUUCCUCUACAUUCUGCAUGUCAUUAGUGGGCACCAAAAACCAUAAAACUACCCUCUUUGUAAUAGCCUUUUAUGUACUCAAACACUGUUGAACACCAUAUAACCUUUUUUUUUUUUUUUUUUUUUUUUUUUUUUUUAAGAUUAAAACAAAACUACAUCUUGCAACCUUGCUUUAUGUAUCCAAUUUUCCAAUCUUCAUCCUUGUUGAUCUCUGGAUUGCCUUCAGUUGAUCUACAUCUUUCUGAAAUUAUGGUGCCUCAGAGUAAAACGGUAUUUUAGCUGAGGCCUCACCAGUGCCCAGAAGAGCAUGCUAAUUAUCCCAUCUUACAUACACUGUCAUGAGCAGACAAUUCAAGAAAAUCUAGAAUUACAUUUAUCUCUUUUCCUCAACAGUAUCACACUGUUGGCUCAUCCAUGGCCCUCAUUAAUCACUAGAUCUUUAUCUGCAGUGGCAUUUCGUGGUUAUGCUUUUGAUUUUAUCCUCCCGAAUGUAGCCCUCUGUGAUCGCCUUUGUUCAAAUUUUUCAUGUUGGAUUUCACAACCUAUCAGGAUAUUUUUGAAUUCUAAUUCUGUCCUUGAGCACAUUCUGCAAAUCUUUACAUAUUGUCACCUACCAAGCUUAUAGGUAUAUAAUCAUUUCCAAUUCUGUCAUCUAACUCUUCACUGAAAUGUUAACAGAAGCCUAUCCAUUAGGAGCUGUGCAAGACAUGUCCAUGUGCAGCUACCAACCACCAUGCAUUAGGUUUACUUUUGACAGUGGAUUGAAUUAGGAGUGGUUUCAAAUGGAACAGCUUUCCCCAGUUCAUUUAUGAGCAUGCAGGAUGAUGUCAAAAGCCUUACUAAGGUCAAGAUACAUCUUGGGUCUUACAUACAGUCAUUUGAACUGCUUUUCCUUAUCUUUUGGACCAGUUGCCUUAUUCGAGAAGGAACUUAGAUUAGUUUGACAAAUUCAUGUUGGAUGCUCCUUAUCACCUUCUCAUGGUGUGUAUGAAUUUACUUCUCAAUAAUUUGUCUCAUUAUCUUCCUCAGUAUUGGCAUUAGGCAGAGUACUCUGUAAUUCCCUAGAUUCUUCCUUUCCCAUUUUUAAAAGCAGGAAUGGUUAUAACCCUGCAAACAGCCAACAACUUCUUAAUUGUGUCGAAAUGUAAGCCUGCCAUGAAUGCCAAAUUUAAGAAAAAAAACUUCACUAAAUUUUUCUUUUCCUUUUUUUAAAACCCAGGUGCCAUGAUGGGAAGAAUCAAGGAAGAACAAGUCUUUAAACCAAGUGCAUGUUUAGUUUAAAAUAAUGUGCAAAAUGUAUAUUGUAAUGUCAGAUUUCUGUUAAUUACCAAAAAUUUUAAGUAUGAUGCUGACUGUAUUUCCUUCUUAGGGUACAUAGUUGCUGGAGGCCCUGGUGACUUAUCCACUCCUUCAGGAACUUUCAGAGAUAAGUCAAGAGCCUAGUCAGUAUUAAGUGAAUUUCAGCAAGCACUAGAGACUUGCAUACAUCUCACUUAUUCAAACAUUCUUUUACUUGUUUUCUCCCUACUCUGGCAUAUGUCAUUCUGUUAAAAAAAAUAGCAUUGUUAAGUACCUAUCAUUAAUGCUUAUGAGCGUGUGAAGAAAGUAGCAAAAUUAAUAAAAACUUUCCCUCAGCUCUGGGUGUCUGUUAUUUGUGCCUCUGCCCUUCUCUUCCUCUAACUUCUCAGUAUUUAUAGAAUCUCUCCUUCUUCCAUUUUAAGCUCUGGGAAAGUUGUAACUCAUUUUGCAACUGAUUCUUUCUACUUUUAUCCCUAGAUGUUUACACCAGUGCUUUGUUGCCCAUCUCACUUAUAUGCUUUGAGAUUAAGAAUAACAGCCCACCACUUUGUCAUCAAGCAGGAUUGUCUUUAUAAAACUCACCAGAGUAUUUACAUGUUUCUCCUGUGUACAAGUUGUAGGAUCAAUGAGCCAGCCAGUAGGAGAGAGAAAGUAACCACACAAAAACAAGAAAAGUAGAGCUGAUGUUUCUAGCUCUUAUCAUUCAUCCCACACACAUUCACAGCCCAGUUUUCUGGGCUGUGCAUCAAAGCACAGGUAUUUAUGGCUGGACUUACCCUUUGGUAUGUGCUUUCCCAUGGGAGAAGAGCUGUUAAUCAAGGUCAGGAUUGCCUGAGCAGGCCACUGUUUCUACAAUAUGCCCUUGAUUUCACUCUUUGUAGGAUUUCCUUUUUGAUAUUCAAGUCACUGGAGGAUUCCUUAUGCAGAUAUGCUGGCCCAAGACUACUUACCAGUCUUUCAUGUCAGGAUGGUUUGCUGGUGCACCUACAGCAUUGUUUCACUUACAGGUUUAUUUUCCUUACAAUUUCUUCACAUGGGACAGUUCCUAGCAGCAGUUCCCUGAUUUGCUGUGAUGAAGAGUGGUCAGGUUUUUUAUCAGCUUCAUUUAAAAUCAAAACCAAACCAGUGUGUUUCACCUGACAGUUUUCACAUGAGAAAAAUAAUAGGUUUAAAAUAGAUAAUAUGUGGCUCUAAGCAACUUAAUUAUAUCCCAUUUUAAAAAAUUACUUUGCCAAUGAAAAAAGGUAUGUCAGGGCUUCAGCAUGAUGAUUUAUGAUUCUGUCAUAAUGACAGAUGUUCUUCAUGCAUCUCUAACAUUGUAAUCUGGGAUCAGUGUUUUUUUUCAUGUUUGCUGGUAAAAAGAAAUGCACUAUAUAAAUACAUCAUUAUUUGUCUUCAAGGCCUUGUUCUGCAUUAGCUUAGGAAAUUGGUUUGGUUUUGAGACAAGUUCUAUAGUAAAGCCACUGUAACAGCGAUAGUGUACCACAAAAGCAGCACUGCACUUACCCUUGCUGG